rnacentral:rRNA from 1 species
UACAGAGGUCUCAAGCGUUGUUCGGAUUCAUUGGGCGUAAAGGGUGCGUAGGUGGCGUCGUAAGUCGGGUGUGAAAUUUCGGAGCUUAACUCCGAAACUGCAUUCGAUACUGCGGUGCUUGAGGACUGGAGAGGAGACUGGAAUUUACGGUGUAGCAGUGAAAUGCGUAGAGAUCGUAAGGAAGACCAGUGGCGAAGGCGGGUCUCUGGACAGUUCCUGACGCUGAGGCGCGAAAGCGUGGGGAGCAAACAGG